rnacentral:lncRNA from 1 species
ACAUCUCUUGGAGUUCUAGCUCACCUUUCUGGUGUUGUUCUUGUACUCAUCUGUUUAAUCUAGUUCUGCCACUUCUUUUUGAACUUUUUGUUAGAUUUCAAGUCUGUAUUUUGUGUCCGUGACAAGAGGUUAGAGUGAAGCCUUCUUCACUCCUGUCAAUGCCUUUCUAGUAUCACGGACAUACACAUGUAAGCCAGUAAUUACAUGUAUAAAUAGAUAUAAAUAAAUAAAAAUAGGUAAAAAUAAGUUAAUUCUAUAGUAUUUAGUAUGAAAGCUUCCUAUAAGCUUCAUAGAUGUUGCUUUGACUUUAUAGGUGUCUUUAAUUGACUUUUGGAGAUUAGAAACGUGGUCAAAAAGUUGGCCAUAUGCCACACAUGUUGUUAGCUUGAAGACCAAGUUAACUAUGUGACUUACACGUAGAAAAACUUGCCUUGUAAGUCAAGGCAUGUGUCCUACAAAGUCAACUCAUAUUGGAGGUCCUACAGAACGUCGCCACGUAUCCUCUAGUAAGAUAAUAUAUAUAGAGACAAGAGUGAAGCCUUCUUCAUUCUUGUGAAUUCCUUUCUUACUUCUAGUCUAGUUUCAAGGGUCUCUAGUUUUCUUGGCUUUUGGAAAUAGC